rnacentral:rRNA from 1 species
UACGAAGGGGGCUAGCGUUGUUCGGAAUUAUUGGGCGUAAAGGGCGCGUAGGCGGCGUGUUAAGUCACUUGUGAAAUCUCUAAGCUUAACUUAGAACGGUCAAGUGAUACUGACGUGCUAGAGUGCAGAAGGGGCAACCGGAAUUCUUGGUGUAGCGGUGAAAUGCGUAGAUAUCAAGAGGAACACCUGAGGUGAAGACGGGUUGCUGGGCUGACACUGACGCUGAGGCGCGAAAGCUAGGGUAGCAAACGGG